GACGAACGCUGGCGGCGUGCUUAACACAUGCAAGUCGAACGGAAAGGCCCUGCUUUUGUGGGGUGCUCGAGUGGCGAAAGGGUGAGUAACACGUGAGUAACCUGCCCUUGACUUUGGGAUAACUUCAGGAAACUGGGGCUAAUACCGGAUAGGAGCUCCUGCUGCAUGGUGGGGGUUGGAAAGUUUCGGCGGUUGGGGAUGGACUCGCGGCUUAUCAGCUUGUUGGUGGGGUAGUGGCUUACCAAGGCUUUGACGGGUAGCCGGCCUGAGAGGGUGACCGGCCACAUUGGGACUGAGGUACGGCCCAGACUCCUACGGGAGGCAGGAGUGGGGAAUAUUGCACAAUGGGCGGAAGCCUGAUGCAGCAACGCCGCGUGCGGGAUGACGGCCUUCGGGUUGUAAACCGCUUUCGCCUGUGACGAAGCGUGAGUGACGGUAAUGGGUAAAGAAGCACCGGCUAACUACGUG
rnacentral:rRNA from 1 species